rnacentral:rRNA from 1 species
UACGUAGGCAGCGAGCGUUGUUCGGAGUUACUGGGCGUAAAGGGUGUGUAGGCGGUUGUUUAAGUUUGGUGUGAAAUCUCCCGGCUCAACUGGGAGGGUGCGCCGAAUACUGAAUGACUUGGAGUGCGGGAGAGGAGAGUGGAAUUCCCGGUGUAGCGGUGAAAUGCGCAGAUAUCGGGAGGAACACCCGUAGCGAAGGCGGCACUCUGGGCCGGUACUGACGCUGAGGAGCGAAAGCGUGGGUAGCAAACAGG